CAAGUGGAAGGGCCACUGGGGUCCAGCUAGACUGCUCACUUGGGUUGGGGCUGCAGAUUUGCAAGAAGAGGGGUCCUCACACUGCUGGCUCCCUGCUGUGGGGCUGCUUGUUGCUGCAGGUUUACCACCUGAAUGAGGUAGAUCUUUCUUGCCAUAUUGGGUAGCUGUUUCCCAGCUCCCAGUUCAAUUCUGAGAUGAUUUGGGGAGGAUUUCAGAGGAGUCUUUUCUCACUCCACCAUCUUGGCACCUGAAGUGAUAUCUGGAUACUCAUGCUGACAGUCCAGGGCCCUCUGGUGCAGGAUCCUAAUUAGGUGACCUCUGCCAGCACAAUGAUGGACUGGAAUCUCACCACUCUUCUCAGGGGAAUCGAUUUCCAACCUGACCAGGCCCCAGGAAAGAAGCAGGACUCUAUCAAAGUUAGAAAAUCGCACAUUAAAUGUUUUUAUCUGAACAGCUCUGCCGCCUUUGUCUGAAAACUCUGAGGUGAAAGAUGUUACUUGAGCCGUAUGUUUUGUUUAAGCACAAACCAAAUGAUGUUACACUCACUUGGAUCUGAACAUAUUGGUUUAUCUUACAUGGAGUUUAAUUGAUGCAAACUUGAUCUUCAGAGUGUAAGCUUUGCAGGGAAAAUACCAUCCCUGUGCUUCAGACUGCUCCAUUUCCCUCUGAGCAGAACAAAGAGGGAAAGGACAGUGGUCUCCAGACUUCCA